rnacentral:misc_RNA from 1 species
UGCCAGCAAAUCUAUUAAAUAACUGAUCCAGUUUUAAACAAUGUAGUAAAGCGUUGAAGAAUUUGGCCAGGUUAAGAGAGGUCACGUAAUUUUUUAUCCAUCCUUUUCUCAAUUACUUCCUCUAACCAAAUCAGACCAGCCCCAGCCCUGUCCCAAUGAUACUUAAAUGUUACACAAGGGAAGGGAGAACAAUAGAGGACUCUUGGAUGCUUUUUUUUUCAACUAUAAGGACAUUCACCAACAAUCAACGCAAAAGUAUGACAAGAACCAACACCAACAUCAAAUUCAACAUAUUUUCCAGGUCUUUUUCUUUUUUCAUUUUAUUCAUUGAAAUCAUGCGCGCGCCCCCACCCCCCUCCAACUCUACAGUGAAGGAGACGAAACAAACUGCCUGGGUAAACUAAAGAGAUCAUUCCCUUCAAAUGGAGAUGUCCAUUCAU